rnacentral:rRNA from 1 species
AACGAACGCUGGCGGCAGGCCUAACACAUGCAAGUCGAGCGAACCCUUCGGGGUUAGCGGCGGACGGGUUAGUAACGCGUGGGAAUAUACCCUUUGGUACGGAAUAGCCUCGGGAAACUGAGAGUAAUACCGUAUGUGCCCUUCGGGGGAAAGAUUUAUCGCCAAAGGAUUAGCCCGCGUUGGAUUAGAUAGUUGGUGGGGUAAUGGCCUACCAAGUCUACGAUCCAUAGCUGGUUUGAGAGGAUGAUCAGCAACACGUGGGACUGAGACACCGGCCCAGACUCCGUACGGGAGGCAGCAGGUGGGGAAUCUUAGACAAGUGGGCG